rnacentral:rRNA from 1 species
UACGUAGGGUGCGAGCGUUGUCCGGAUUUAUUGGGCGUAAAGAGCUCGUAGGCGGUCUGUCGCGUCUGCUGUGAAAACUCAGGGCUUAACCCUGAGCUUGCAGUGGGUACGGGCAGACUAGAGUGCGGUAGGGGAGACUGGAAUUCCUGGUGUAGCGGUGAAAUGCGCAGAUAUCAGGAGGAACACCGGUGGCGAAGGCGGGUCUCUGGGCCGUAACUGACGCUGGAGGAGCGGAAAGCAUGGGGAGCGAACAGG